rnacentral:rRNA from 1 species
UACGUAGGAGGCGAGCGUUGUCCGGAAUCACUGGGUGUAAAGCGCGUGUAGGCGGCCUGCCAAGUCUGCUGUGAAAGCGCCUGGCUUAACCGGGCGAGGUCGGUGGAAACUGGCGGGCUGGAGGACGGUAGAGGGGGGUGGAAUUCCCGGUGUAGUGGUGAAAUUCGUAGAUAUUAGGAAGAACACCGGUGGCGAAGGCGGCCCACUGGAUCGGUACUGACGCUGAGGUGCGAAAGCGUGGGGAGCAAACAGG